rnacentral:rRNA from 1 species
UACGUAGGGUGCGAGCGUUGUCCGGAAUUACUGGGCGUAAGGAGCUCGUAGGUGGUUUGUCGCGUUGUUCGUGAAAACUCACAACUCAAUUGUGGGCGUGCGGGCGAUACGGGCAGACUGGAGUACUGCAGGGGAGACUGGAAUUCCUGGUGUAGCGGUGGAAUGCGCAGAUAUCAGGAGGAACACCAGCGGCGAAGGCGGCGCUCUGGGCCGGAGCUGACGCUGAGGAGCGAAAGCGUGGGGAGCAAACAGG